rnacentral:rRNA from 1 species
UACGUAGGGUGCGAGCGUUAAUCGGAAUUACUGGGCGUAAAGCGUGCGCAGGCGGUUCGUUAUGUCCGAUGUGAAAGCCCCGAGCUUAACUUGGGAAUGGCAUUGGAAACUGGCGGGCUGGAGUGCGGCAGAGGGGGGUGGAAUUCCACGUGGUAGCAGUGAAAUGCGUAGAGAUGUGGAGGAACACCGAUGGCGGAAGGCA